UUAAAGAAAAUGAGUUAUUGUGGAAAGUAUAUACAGUAUUUGCCUUUGUACUAACAGCAGUAGAAUCAUAGCCAUAAAGAGUGCAAGGAAAAUAUCAUAGUAUGAAAUAUGUUGGUACUGUGAGUAUAGUAUAGGAACUUCAUGUAAAUUUUAAUGUAUAAUGUAAAAGCUAUGAUAUAUAAUUAAAACUGAGAAAAUGCAUGAAAUCAUGAUUAAGCAGAAACCAAAAGAUGACAAUUUUAAGUUGUGAUCGCUCAUUCGUUCAUUUCUCUAUGGCUCAUUCGGGUGUUCAUCGCGUGCCGGAUUUCAACAACAGUGCCAACCGUCCCCAAGGAGUUUUAGCAGAAACAGUGAUCAAUCUCCGCAGCUGUCUUCCUGGGUAUCCUUCUCCUUCUCCUGGUCAUCUUUAAUAUCUGCCAGUGGAAACAAUCAAAGCAUUACAACUACCAGAUCGUCCCAAACAACUUCACGUAGAACCGGGUUCCUCGGAGAGUGCAAACCUGAUGCUUGCUCACACAGGAGGGAAGGAAAGGCUUUGUGAAGUAGAAUUCAGAGCUGAAUGCGAUUUUGAGGAAAGGAUUAUAUCAAAAUUUCAGUUUGUGGACUUUGACUCUUGUGAUAAAAAGAAGGAUAAAAUAGUCCACAGUGUGAGGCGUUUUGCGUCAGUUAAGUGGGUACGACAUGUUUUCACAUCCUGGAACGAAAAGAUUGUAAAUGUUACUGGAACAUUUCAUUUAUCUCUAAGUCAUUUUUUAGAAGUGUCGUGAGAUUAUAUAUUUCUAUAUACAUAAUGCAGUGAAUGAGAUUUUAUUGUAAGUUAAACCUUUGUGCCUCUUUUAUUUAGUCUGCCAAAUGUAGCUGCAAGUAUUUUUAUAAUGUUUCCUUUUUUUCAUAAUUGUAUAGUUAUAUCAGUGGUAUUAUUGAAAUAAAGUAUGGAUGGUGAUAGAAAUUCAACUUCCGAAAUUCCAGGUUAGUUUAUAUAACUGUUAUGUACAUUAUUGAUGAUUAAUUUUCUCCUUUUAGCCAUUCAGUGAAAGAACAAAGUCCAUUUAGAGUGCCAUUGGAACUUACUCAUAUUGUUUUAGUAUAAUUGAUAAAUGCUAGUAAGUUAAAUUUUCCAUUACUGUCAUACAGUGAAGGGGUUCCAUGUAGGUUUUUCCACAUUAUUACAGGAAAUGCUGAAGUCUUUCAGAACUUCAUUAUGCAGUGUUGUUUCUAGUGAUCAAAACCAGUGCCAGUGAUUAUUGCUAGUGUUCCAGAAGGGGAAGGGGUAUUUGCAGUUGGUAUUCUCACUUGCUUACUCUCUUUCUCUUGCCGUCACACACACUCUCCUCUGUCUCUCUCUCUUUGUCUCUCUCUCUUUGUCUCUCUCUCUUUGUCUCUCUCUCUUUGUCUCUCUCUCUCUCUCUCUCUCUCUCUCUCUCUCUCUCUCUCUCUCUCUCUCUCUCUCUCUCUCUCUCUCUCUCUCUCUCUCUCUCUCUCUCUCUCACCCUCUCCCUACCUGCCCCUUCCCACAAAUCCUUCAAUUGUUGAUUCUGUAUUAUCAAGAUAAAUGACCCUUGAGUUCUGAAUUAUAAUCAAGAUGAAUGUUGGAAUCUGAGAAGAGAUGCAAUAGUUCUGUUCAAUUUCCCAGCUGUUGGCAUACUGCCAAUUGUUGCAAAUGUUUCUCAAGUUUGAUAUGUGUACAAUAUAGGAUUUGUGUGUGUGUGUGUGUGUGUGUAUGCACAUGCAUUUAUAUGAAAUUGGACAAAAGUUAAUAUUAUGCCAGGCUUUAAUCCUUUCCAACUGUCCUCUAAUAUAUAAAAAAGAGGUCUUUAUAUUCUCCUAAAGUCCAACAGGUAUUAUUCACAAGUCAUAUUUCCUUGGACUGCAAAGAGUGUCUUAACCAAUAACAUGUAGAUAUAUGUUGGAUUCAUGUUAAAAUUGCGAGAAUAACGUUAGGGAUAUAUAUCAAAUGGUUGUGAACAAUAUAAGUGUGAUUUAAUCAAACAGCUGUGUUUAAGAAUUUUUUAGUUUUUUGUACUAUAAUGAAAUGAAAACGAAAAUGGUUUAUGCUUUGAUUAUCAUUAUUUUCUAUGAAAAGUGAAUUUGGCAUCAAAAAAGAAAUCUCAUUUUUUAUUUAUAUGCACUGAAGGUACUAAUAUUUGUUUACCAUUAUGUGUUGAUGGUAUUCGUGAUCAGUGAGUGUUCAUGUUAUAGUAAGGUUAAUAAUGCAACAAUAAUGACAGAUUGCAAAGCAUUACAGCAUAAUUUCUGGGAGAGUGCCAUAGACAAUCAUGAAGACUAGUGAUGUGCACGUGUCUGUCUCAUGAUACCUUUUCAAUUUUUAUGCAUUAUCUUUCUUUUUUUUUCUUUUUUCUUUCCCUUCUCUCUCCCUCUCCUUCCUUUUUUCUCUCCUUUUAUCAUUAGUUACUGUUGGCACUCCUAUGACUGUAUCAGUUUAUUACUAUUGAUUAUUACUACUACUACUACUAGUAUUGUCAUUAUCAUUAUUAUUAUAUUGUUACUUCUGAUCAUCAUUAUCAUUAUCAUUGUCAUUCACAUACUCAUUAUCAUGAUCAUUACUACCUUCAUCUUUAUUUUGUUGUUAAAAGACAAGGUCAAGUCAAGUUUCAAUACUAGUUUAUUUAGCAUUGGGUGUAUGUCAUGUGAAGGAUUAAUGCUGAAAUGAAUAAAAAAGUGAAGGGAAGACUAGGAGAAAAUUAAAAAUAUAUCAAUGGCUUUUUGCUAUAUUGCUUCUUCAAGGCAUGAAGAAAUGCAACGGUGAAAAGGCCUUUACCAUUCUUCCCUUCAUUGUUGUAUUUAUAAUGUAUAUGACAUAAAAUCAUUUGGAAACUACCUUCUAGUAUUAUUUGGGUACGUGAACUGUACUCCGAACUGAAGACAAAGAUUAUAGGCAUUAGGUGUAAAGGAGAAAUAUCCAAAGAAAUUAUAUCUAAGAAAUUUAUGAUGAUUGGUAUCUUGCUGUAUUUCUGUUGCACAUUGACAAGUACAAAUAUGCUGUUAUCAGUACUUGUUAAGUGCACAUUGGGUUGUGAGAUUUAUUAAUGUGUCAUGUUAUGAGAGUGACCACUACAACACAAAAGCUCCUGUAUGUAAAGAUUAGUAUUGAUAAUUGAAUUUAUAAUGCAGUAAUUAAGUUCUCUGAGGGAACGUUGUCUCUGCGCUUUCCUUAGGUGUACAUGUAUGUGAAAAUGGCACUUGUUACUACUGACAGUGGAUUUUUGAAAUAUUAUUUUUGUGGCGGAAAAGCGUUGGAUGGCUCUGAAGUUGUGCCACUGUCAGUUUUCCAAAUAAUGCACAGAUAUUUUUAUAAAUGCUUGAAGUUACGAAUGCUUAUAGGCUUAUUAGUUCUUUUUUAAACUUGGCUCUAUUUGGUCUGAAUCACCCAAGAGUGCCAGUGUAACGGAUGUCCUUGAACUCCAGAGCUGAUAAAAUAUCUGUCUCUCCUCUUGUGGCUCCCUCUCCCUCUUACUAUUCUCCUUUUCCUUCUCUCUCUCUCUCUCUUCAUCAAUGGUAAUGUUACCCUGAUCACUUGAAUGACCAUUAUUGCUUGACAUGAUACAUGAAAAAGUUUUCUGUAUAUUGCUCCAAGCUCAGCGACAGACGAUAAUAAUUUUCAUUGUAGUCAGAAUGCUUUCAGGAAAAUAGCCAAACUAUGCUGAGUUUUUUAGCCUUUUUUCUAUUAUUGUAUUUUAUUUCUAUCAUUUUUUCUAAUACUGAUGAUAUCUGGAGACAUACAGUACUGGUUAUUUAGAGGAUGCAUUGAGCGUAUAACAAAAGUAGAGUUAAAUUUUUCUUUUUAUUGGUUAUUUGUGAAGGUAAUAUUUAAUUCAUAUGUAGAAUUGUUUUAACUUUAAAAUUAAUAAACCAGUUAUCAGUAUAA